rnacentral:siRNA from 1 species
GAAGCUGAAUGAAAUGAAUGAUUG